CCGGUUCGGAGGCGCUUUAGGGAGUCGCGGCAUUCACUCCGGCGCAGGAAGAGAGGCGCUGCACCAAGAGACACAAUAGGCGCUUCUAAAGCAUCAUCUGAGGGGCAAAGUUAUUAUUCUUCCCUUCUCUUCUCUGCAGAACGACGAUCAAAGAGAAACUCGUUCUUGCUGUUGGUGACACCAUCUCGCUCUCGGUCCCAUAUUCUGGGAAGACCCAAGGAUGCCUUUACCUUGGGUCACAGCUGUCCUGAUGCUGUCUAUUCUAAGACGGAGCAAUGGAGACUCAGUCACCCAAACCAAGGGCAGCGCCCUGAUCUCCCGAGGAGAAUCUGUGGUUGUUAACUGCACCUAUGAGGCUGUUUCUCCCUCUCUCUUCUGGUACGUGCAGUUCCCCAGCCAGCCCCCCAGGCUCUUCCUGAGGGACCUGGGACGGGAGGACUCGGAUGAAGGGAUCAGAAAAGGGUUCGAUGCCACCCAUGAUAAAAAGCUCAAAUCCUUCCACUUGUGGAAACCGUCCAGCGAACUGAGCGACUCCGCGACCUAUUUCUGCGCCGUGAGAGACACAGUGACACGGAUCGGCAGGGGAGCUCAGCAAAAAACCCCGGGGGCUGUGGCAGGAAUCGCUGGUUCCUGGGAGCGACUCGGGGAUGAAGGGUAGGAAUUCUGCAAGCCCUGGACCUGGAACAGACAUCUCUGUCUCUCACACAAACCAGCAGCACACAAGCCCUCCUCCCCCAUCUAGUCCAUCCUCCAGCCUGCAUCGCCUCUUUCUGCUCCCGCCUUGGAUUGCAGGAUGCACUGGGCAGGUCAUAGAACAAAAUUCACCAUCAGCUCAGGAAACCAGGAAUGAAAGAAUGAAUGGAGCUGCGUAAUCUGUCUAGGAAAUAAAAAUUAAGUAACUCCUCCCCAAACCAAACCGUACACAAAUAGCUAGCUAGAUAUUGAUUAUUAUUAUUUAUUUGUGUUAUGCUAGCACCCAGAAGACCCCAGUCAUUGACUAGAAUCCUAUUGUGCUAGGUGCUGUACAAAGACGGAAAAAAAACCCGAUUCCUUGCCCCAGGUGCAAGGCAAGAAACAACAGGUGGAGACAUACAAGGAAACCAUGAAGCAAUAGUGCCUAAAUCAGGGGUUCUUGUACUGAGGGUUCUGACCCCUCAGGGGGUCGUAAGGUUAUUAUGUGGGGGUUGUAAGCUGUCAGCCUGCACCCCCAAACCCCGCUUGGCUUCCACCAUUUAUAAUAGUGUUAAAUAUAAAAAUGUGCUUUUAAUUUAUAAGUGGGUGUUGCACUCAGAGGCCUGCUGUGUGAAAGAGGGUCAGCAAUACAAAAGUUUUA